CUUGUCUCGGAGUAAAGACCUUGCAUGUUUCUGUUUCAACAACUCUAUUCUGAGAAACCGCGCAUUGCUCAUUAUCUCCAUUAUACUUGAUUUGCUAGUAUUCUCCUUCUUUGAUCACCGUAGUUAUUUUAGAGCUUAUUCAUGCGUAAACUCCCGACUUCUAGAAAAAAAGUAUUUAUUUGAUUGAAACCCAUUGGCUUUCGAGCUGUAUUGUGGUGAGUCAUAAUAACUUAUCGGAUGGCAGUAACCUCACGGCGGCGAUGAAUCCUUCAAGUUUUUGCCCUAUCAGCUUUCGAUGGUAGUGUAUUGGGCUUCCAUGGCGGUAACGGGUAACGAAGAAUUAGGGUUUGAUUUUGGAGAGGGAGCCUGAGAGACGGCUUCCCCAUCCCAGGAAGGCAGCAGGCGCGGAAAUUACCCAAUCGUGACACCCGGAGGUAGUGGCCAUAAAUAUCAAUGCGGUCGGUUUUCCGAUUGCAAUUGGAAAAAGGGCAAUUUUAAUCCCUUAACGAGGAUCAAUUG
rnacentral:rRNA from 1 species